UGCGGCCUCUGCUCCCUUAACUUCUGGAGACUAGGGGCACGGUGGCUGGUGCCCCAUCUCUCUUAGCCAUCCACAGCGGCAACAACAUCAGGUCAAACAAACUUUCAUAGGUUUGGUGGAUGUUUGGGCAAUUACUCAACUACUAACAAAAGGCCACUGGAUGAUUUUUAUACCUGCAUCACAUCAAGUGGAUUUGGAUAGCACACAAGCUGGCAUGGUCUUCAUCGUGGAUUCAAUCUCCACACGAGUGGAGUGGCCUCUGCCUUGUGCGGCAGCUGCGGACGGGCAGAGGAGACGACGACGUAGGGCACACGGAGCCAGCAACCCUAGAAGCCAUGAUGCCCGCGAACAAAAUUACCUAAAGGAUAGGAAACAGACUACCUGAUCUCACGGAUGCAUGUAGUCUUUUUUUUCUGAUGCGUACAACAAGCGAUCAGGGCAUCAAGGGAUGC